GAUGAACGCUGGCGGCGUGCCUAAUACGUGCAAGUCGAGCGAACAGACGAGGAGCUUGCUCCUCUGACGUUAGCGGCGGACGGGUGAGUAACACGUGGAUAACCUACCUAUAAGACUGGGAUAACUUCGGGAAACCGGAGCUAAUACCGGAUAAUAUAUUGAACCGCAUGGUUCAAUAGUGAAAGACGGUUUUGCUGUCACUUAUAGAUGGAUCCGCGCCGCAUUAGCUAGUUGGUAAGGUAACGGCUUACCAAGGCAACGAUGCGUAGCCGACCUGAGAGGGGGAGAGGCAAAAAGGGAAAGGAGACACGGAGAAGAAGACGAAGGGAGGCAGCAGGGGGGAAGAGUGGAAAAGGGGAGAAAGCCUGAUAAAGCAAUACCGAGGGAGUGAAGAAGGAUGAAGGAUUGUAAAGACCUUUGAUUGGGAAAGAAAAGAAGCAGGAUAAAAACCCGAUGUUCGGACGGUACCCAAAGAAUAAGCAACGGCUAACUUCGUG
rnacentral:rRNA from 1 species